CGUUGUUGGGUAGGGGAGCGUUCUGUAAGCCGUUGAAGGUGGCCUGUGAGGGUUGCUGGAGGUAUCAGAAGUGCGAAUGCUGACAUAAGUAACGAUAAAGCGGGUGAAAAGCCCGCUCGCCGGAAGACCAAGGGUUCCUGUCCAACGUUAAUCGGGGCAGGGUGAGUCGACCCCUAAGGCGAGGCUGAAAAGCGUAGUCGAUGGGAAACAGGUUAAUAUUCCUGUACUUGGUGUUACUGCGAAGGGGGGACGGAGAAGGCUAGGCUAGCCGGGCGACGGUUGUCCCGGUUUAAGCGUGUAGGGGGUGUGACCUGGUAAAUCCGGUUGCAUAUCAACCCUGAGGCGUGAUGACGAUGCACUACGGUGCAGAAGUAGUUGAUGCCCUGCUUCCAGGAAAAGCCUCUAAGCUCCAGGUAACAUU
rnacentral:rRNA from 1 species